AGUGAACGCUGGUGGUAGGCCUAACACAUGCAAGUCGAACGGCAGCACAGUAAGAGCUUGCUCUUACGGGUGGCGAGUGGCGGACGGGUGAGGAAUACAUCGGAAUCUACUUUUUCGUGGGGGAUAACGUAGGGAAACUUACGCUAAUACCGCAUACGACCUACGGGUGAAAGCAGGGGAUCUUCGGACCUUGCGCGAUUGAAUGAGCCGAUGUCGGAUUAGCUAGUUGGCGGGGUAAAGGCCCACCAAGGCGACGAUCCGUAGCUGGUCUGAGAGGAUGAUCAGCCACACUGGAACUGAGACACGGCCCAGACUCCUACGGGAGGCAGCAGUGGGGAAUAUUGGACAAUGGGGGCAAGCCUGAUCCAGCCAUACCGCGUGGGUGAAGAAGGCCUUCGGGUUGUAAAGCCCUUUUGUUGGGAAAGAAAAGCAGCAGGUUAAUACCCCGCUGUUCUGACGGUACCCAAAGAAUAAGCACCGGCUAACUUCGUG
rnacentral:rRNA from 1 species